rnacentral:rRNA from 1 species
GACGAACGCUGGCGGCGUGCUUAACACAUGCAAGUCGAACGGAAAGGCCCUGCUUUUGUGGGGUGCUCGAGUGGCGAACGGGUGAGUAACACGUGAGUAACCUGCCCUUGACUUUGGGAUAACUUCAGGAAACUUGGGCUAAUACCGGAUAGGAGCUCCUGCUGCAUGGUGGGGGUUGGAAAGUUUCGGCGGUUGGGGAUGGACUCGCGGCUUAUCAGCUUGUUGGUGGGGUAGUGGCUUACCAAGGCUUUGACGGGUAGCCGGCCUGAGAGGGUUACCGGCCACAUUGGGACUGAGAUACGGCCCAGACUCCUACGGGAGGCAGCAGUGGGGAAUAUUGCACAAUGGGCGGAAGCCUGAUGCAGCAACGCCGCGUGCGGGAUGACGGCCUUCGGGUUGUAAACCGCUUUCGCAUGUGACGAAGCGUGAGUGACGGUAAUGGGUAAAGAAGCACCGGCUAACUACGUG